GACGAACGCUGGCGGCGUGCUUAACACAUGCAAGUCGAACGGAAAGGCCCCUUUGGGGGUCCUCGAGUGGCGAACGGGUGAGUAACACGUGAGUAACCUGCCCUUGACUUCGGGAUAACUUCAGGAAACUGGGGCUAAUACCGGAUAGGAAUCCUUGCUGCAUGGUGGGGGUUGGAAAGCUUCGGCGGUUUUGGAUGGACUCGCGGCUUAUCAGCUUGUUGGUGGGGUAGUGGCUUACCAAGGCUUUGACGGGUAGCCGGCCUGAGAGGGCGACCGGCCACAUUGGGACUGAGAUACGGCCCAGACGCCUACGGGAGGCAGCAGUGGGGAAUAUUGCACAAUGGGCGGAAGCCUGAUGCAGCAACGCCGCGUGCGGGAGGACGGCCCUCGGGUUGUAAACCGCUUUCAGCAGGGGCGAAGCUUGUGGUGACGGUACCUGCAGAAGAAGCACCGGCUAACUACGUG
rnacentral:rRNA from 1 species